GAUCCUGGCUCAGGAUGAACGCUAGCUACAGGCUUAACACAUGCAAGUCGAGGGGAAACGAUAUUGGAAGCUUGCUUCAAUUGCCGGCGACCGGCGCACGGGUGAGUAACGCGUAUCCAACCUUCCGUACACUCAGGGAUAGCCUUUCGAAAGAAAGAUUAAUACCUGAUAGUAUGAUGAGAUUGCAUGAUAUCAUCAUUAAAGAUUUAUCGGUGUACGAUGGGGAUGCGUU
rnacentral:rRNA from 1 species